GCCUAGCCAUAAACUUUGAUUAUCCGCCAGAGUACUACGAGCUACAGCUUAAAACUCAAAGGACUUGGCGGUGCUUUACACCCCCCUAGAGGAGCCUGUUCUAUAAUCGAUAAUCCCCGAUAAACCUCACCACCUAUUGCCAAUACAGCCUAUAUACCACCGUCCAGCCCGCCCUUUAAAGGGUAAACAGCAGGCAUAAUUAUAAACAUAAAAACGUCAGGUCAAGGUGUAGCAGAUAAGGUGGAAAGAAAUGGGCUACAUUUUCUAACUUAGAAAACACGGAUGGUUCUAUGAAAUAGUUUCUGAAGGAGGAUUUAGCAGUAAAAAGAAAUUAGAAUGUUCUUUUUAAGACGGCAAUAAAGCGCGC
rnacentral:rRNA from 2 species